rnacentral:rRNA from 1 species
UACGUAGGGCGCAAGCGUUGUCCGGAAUUAUUGGGCGUAAAGAGCUCGUAGGCGGUUUGUCGCGUCUGCUGUGAAAUCCCGAGGCUCAACCUCGGGCUUGCAGUGGGUACGGGCAGACUAGAGUGCGGUAGGGGAGACUGGAAUUCCUGGUGUAGCGGUGGAAUGCGCAGAUAUCAGGAGGAACACCGAUGGCGAAGGCAGGUCUCUGGGCAUGUCCUGACGCUGAGGAGCGAAAGUGUGGGGAGCGAACAGG